CACGGGGGGAGCAAGCGUUGUUCGGAAUCACUGGGCGUAAAGGGCGUGUAGGCGGUCAGGUAAGUGAGACGUGAAAUGCCCCGGCUUACCCGGGGACCUGCGUCUCAUACUGCUUGGCUUGAGUACGGGAGAGGGUGUGGGAAUUCCUGGUGUAGCGGUGAAAUGCGGAGAUAUCAGGAGGAACACCGGUGGCGAAGGCGCACACCUGGCCCGAUACUGACGCUGAGGCGCGAAAGCUAGGGGAGCAAACGGG
rnacentral:rRNA from 1 species